rnacentral:rRNA from 1 species
UGGGGAAUUUUGGACAAUGGGCGAAAGCCUGAUCCAGCAAUGCCGCGUGUGUGAAGAAGGCCUUCGGGCUGUAAAGCACUUUUGUCCGGAAAGAAAUCCUUGGCUCUAAUACAGUCGGGGGAUGACGGUACCGGAAGAAUAAGCACCGGCUAACUACGUGCCAGCAGCCGCGGUAAUACGUAGGGUGCAAGCGUUAAUCGGAAUUACUGGGCGUAAAGCGUGCGCAGGCGGUUUGCUAAGACCGAUGUGAAAUCCCCGGGCUCAACCUGGGAACUGCAUUGGUGACUGGCAGGCUAGAGUAUGGCAGAGGGGGGUAGAAUUCCACGUGUAGCAGUGAAAUGCGUAGAGAUGUGGAGGAAUACCGAUGGCGAAGGCAGCCCCCUGGGCCAAUACUGACGCUCAUGCACGAAAGCGUGGGGAGCAAACAGGAUUAGAUACCCUGGUAGUCCACGCCCUAAAACGAUGUCAACUAGUUGUUGGGGAUUCAUUUCCUUAGUAACGUAGCUAACGCGUGAAGUUGACCGCCUGGGGAGUACGGUCGCAAGAUUAAAACUCAAAUGAAUUGACGGGGUCAUAGCUGUUUCCU